UACGAAGGGGGCUAGCGUUGCUCGGAAUUACUGGGCGUAAAGCGCACGUAGGCGGAUCGAUCAGUCAGGGGUGAAAUCCCAGGGCUCAACCCUGGAACUGCCUUUUGAUACUGUCGAUCUGGAGUAUGGAAAGAGGUGAGUGGAAUUCCGAGUGUAGAGGUGAAAAUUCGUAGAUAUUCGGAGGAACACCAGUGGCGAAGGCGGCUCACUGGUCCAUUACUGACGCUGAGGUGCGAAAAGCGUGGGGAGCAAACAGGG
rnacentral:rRNA from 1 species